ACUAUAGGGAAUUAGGUAGGAUUGCCAUACUUUUCCCUAGUCUAUAGUAGGAGUACUCUGAUACCAGAUUGUUACAUCAACGAGUAUAUAGCCUUGGCCGACAGGCCCGGGAAAUCUUUGAAAUUUCAUCGUGAUGGGGAUAGAUCAUUGCAAUUGUUGGUCUUAAACGAGGAAUUCCUAGUAAGCGCGAGUCAUCAGCUCGCGUUGACUACGUCCCU
rnacentral:ncRNA from 1 species